AUCCAGCUGACGAGUUCCAAAUAGGACGAAAUAUUAGUCCUGGAU
rnacentral:hammerhead_ribozyme from 1 species